rnacentral:rRNA from 1 species
GACGAACGCUGGCGGCGUGCCUAAUACAUGCAAGUUGAGCGCUGAAGGUUGGUACUUGUACCGACUGGAUGAGCAGCGAACGGGUGAGUAACGCGUGGGGAAUCUGCCUUUGAGCGGGGGACAACAUUUGGAAACGAAUGCUAAUACCGCAUAAAAACUUUAAACACAAGUUUUAAGUUUGAAAGAUGCAAUUGCAUCACUCAAAGAUGAUCCCGCGUUGUAUUAGCUAGUUGGUGAGGUAAAGGCUCACCAAGGCGAUGAUACAUAGCCGACCUGAGAGGGUGAUCGGCCACAUUGGGACUGAGACACGGCCCAAACUCCUACGGCAGGCAGCAGUAGGGAAUCUUCGGCAAUGGACGAAAGUCUGACCGAGCAACGCCGCGUGAGUGAAGAAGGUUUUCGGAUCGUAAAACUCUGUUGGUAGAGAAGAACGUUGGUGAGAGUGGAAAGCUCAUCAAGGGACGGGAACUACCCAGAAAGGGACGGCUAACUACGU